rfam:Microgenomates (Woesebacteria) bacterium GW2011_GWC1_38_13 TS75_C0005, whole genome shotgun sequence.
GCACCUGUAGUUUAAUGGAUAAAACACGUGGUUGCGGACCAUGAGACUGAAGGUUCGAUUCCUUCCAGGUGCA